UGGGGAAUAUUGGACAAUGGGCGCAAGCCUGAUCCAGCCAUGCCGCGUGAGUGAUGAAGGCCCUAGGGUUGUAAAGCUCUUUCACCGGUGAAGAUAAUGACGGUAACCGGAGAAGAAGCCCCGGCUAACUUCGUGCCAGCAGCCGCGGUAAUA
rnacentral:rRNA from 2 species